rnacentral:tRNA from 1 species
GGGUCUAUAGUUUAGUGGUAGAACUACGGUCUCCAAAACCGUCAGCCGAGGUUCGAGUCCUCGUGGACCCG